UUACAAGCACAUAUUACAAUUUAUGAGAAUAAUGACUGUUUAAUCUUUAAACCAAGCACCAAUACUCGUGUUUCAUGAAUACUAAAUUAUAGGACUUAAUUACAAGUAUUAAUGUACUUUUCUCCCACCCUCUUGGUUGGGCUGUUUUCUUUAAAUUUUCCGGAUCCGGAUUUUGACAGAGCCCUUCUACCUCUCUAACCGUUUGGUAUUUUGCUGACAGCGUAGACGGUUUUCCUGAAGACUCCCAACUACUAGGAGUGUGCGUAUGGAAAUUCGGCGAUCACAUUCAAGUGUAAUUUUCUCGAAAUAUGAAUUAAUUUCAAUCACUCAACAUCAAUUAAUUAUUGAAUGGAGCAAUGAAAUUUGAAAAGAAUGAAAAUAUGUCAGACUGCAGCUUUGUGUUUCGAACAGUGGUAUAUCUCUGGAACCAAUUAUUUGUAAUUUUUGGGAUUAUUGUCGACUUACAAUUCUGAUGGCAGUCAUUUAUAACAUGAUAUAUUUGUCCUCCAUACUUUUAAGUUCGAUCAAUAAACAUUGUCGGACAGUUACGUAAAAGAAUGUGGAAACUACUUUGAUAAAUUAUAAAAUUAUCAAACUUGAAUACCAAGUGAAAAAAAUCGUUUUUAAUUUAUUGAAAUUUCCAUCACUUAAAUUUCACGUCUUACUUUUUUAUAUUUUGAUCUCUUGAUAUAAACAUGUUUUUAUAUUAAGGUAAUGUAAUUUUAUACGUAGACAUUCUUAAUCCCUUGUCUCUCUUUGGAGAAUUAUUCUGUACAUAGUAUAUCUUGGAUAUAUAUUAAUUUCAAUACAAAAAUUAAAUAACCAAUACUUGAAUCACGUCGAACCAUA
rnacentral:lncRNA from 1 species